rnacentral:rRNA from 1 species
GACGAACGCUGGCGGCGUGCUUAACACAUGCAAGUCGAACGGAAAGGCCCUGCUUUUGUGGGGUGCUCGAGUGGCGAACGGGUGAGUAACACGUGAGUAACCUGCCCCUGACUUUGGGAUAACUUCAGGAAACUGGGGCUAAUACCGGAUAGGAGCUCCUGCCGCAUGGUGGGGGUUGGAAAGUUUCGGCGGUUGGGGAUGGACUCGCGGCUUAUCAGCUUGUUGGUGGGGUAGUGGCUUACCAAGGCUUUGACGGGUAGCCGGCCUGAGAGGGUGACCGGCCACAUUGGGACUGAGAUACGGCCCAGACUCCUACGGGAGGCAGCAGUGGGGAAUAUUGCACAAUGGGCGGAAGCCUGAUGCAGCAACGCCGCGUGCGGGAUGACGGCCUUCGGGUUGUAAACCGCUUUCGCCUGUGACGAAGCGUGAGUGACGGUAAUGGGUAAAGAAGCACCGGCUAACUACGUG